rnacentral:rRNA from 1 species
UGGGGAAUCUUGCGCAAUGCGCGAAAGCGUGACGCAGCAACGCCGCGUGGGGGAAGAAGGCCUUCGGGUUGUAAACCCCUUUCAGGAGGGACGAAGGUGCGGCGGCGAACAGCCGUCCGUACUGACGGUACCUCCAGAAGAAGCCCCGGCUAACUACGUGCCAGCAGCCGCGGUAAUACGUAGGGGGCAAGCGUUGUCCGGAAUCAUUGGGCGUAAAGCGCGCGUAGGCGGCCCGGUAAGUCCGCUGUAAAAGUCCAGGGCUCAACCCUGGAAAGCCGGUGGAUACUGUCGGGCUAGAGUCCGGAAGAGGCGAGUGGAAUUCCUGGUGUAGCGGUGGAAUGCGCAGAUAUCAGGAGGAACACCGAUGGCGAAGGCAGCUCGCUGGGACGGUACUGACGCUGAGGCGCGAAAGCGUGGGGAGCGAAC